UACAGAGGUCUCAAGCGUUUGUUCGGAUUCAUUGGGCGUAAGCGCGCGUAGGCGGCCCGGUAAGUCCGCUGUAAAAGUCCAGGGCUCAACCCUGGAAAGCCGGUGGAUACUGUCGGGCUCGAGUCCGGAAGAGGCGAGUGGAAUUCCUGGUGUAGCGGUGGAAUGCGCAGAUAUCAGGAGGAACACCGAUGGCGAAGGCAGCUCGCUGGGACGGUACUGACGCUGAGACGCGAAAGCGUGGGGAGCGAACAGG
rnacentral:rRNA from 1 species